CCGAGGUGAUAAAUUAUAUUCAAUCUGCACGUGGAACUAAAACUAUGCUAUGUUCCAUAAAUACACUCAUCAAUGCCCAAGGGCUCAAUGCACAUAAGCUCAAUAUGUAAUGUUUAUAAAAACAGUACGUAUCGGACAAUUAUAUGAAGACUGCAUAUUACUAUUGAUGUUGCGACAAAACUAGCCAGUUAUGUCUGCCCCUCAGAACCAGCUGAAGGUUGAAUCUCUUGAGUUGACCCAUUGUGCCCGACCCUUCCAAGCUGAAUUCCCAGAGAAGAACUUUCAUGAGAACUUGGUUGGUUAGAUCCACCUCUUGCUGCUGCUGUUGCUCCUUUUAGGCCUUUCUUUCUCUUCACCUUCUCAGCCCAACCGACAAGGCCAGCUUGGACAUGCUCAUCAAAUAUUGCUUUC
rnacentral:misc_RNA from 1 species